GCUGGGUGUGGUGGCGCACACCUGUAGUCCCAGCUACUCAGGAGGCAGAGGCAGGAGGAUCACUUGAGCUCAGGAGGUCAAGGCUGCAGUGAGCUAUGAUCACACGACUGCACUCCAGCCUGGGUGACACAGUGACAUCUUGCAUCUUAAAAGAAGAAAAGUUGGGUGUGGUGGCUCAUGCCUGUAAUCCCAGGAAUUUGGGAGGCUGAAGUGGACAGAUUGCUUGGGCCCAGGAGUUUGAGACCAGCCUGGGCAACAUAGUGAAACCCCAUCUCU
rnacentral:sRNA from 1 species